AGUGAACGCUGGCGGUAGGCCUAACACAUGCAAGUCGAACGGCAGCACAGUAAGAGCUUGCUCUUACGGGUGGCGAGUGGCGGACGGGUGAGGAAUACAUCGGAAUCUACUUUUUCGUGGGGGAUAACGUAGGGAAACUUACGCUAAUACCGCAUACGACCUACGGGUGAAAGCAGGGGAUCUUCGGACCUUGCGCGAAUGAAUGAGCCGAUGUCGGAUUAGCUAGUUGGCGGGGUAAAGGCCCACCAAGGCGACGAUCCGUAGCUGGUCUGAGAGGAUGAUCAGCCACACUGGAACUGAGACACGGUCCAGACCCCUACGGGAGGCAGCAGUGGGGAAUAUUGGACAAUGGGCGCAAGCCUGAUCCAGCCAUACCGCGUGGGUGAAGAAGGCCUUCGGGUUGUAAAGCCCUUUUGUUGGGAAAGAAAAGCAGCAGGUUAAUACCCCGCUGUUCUGACGGUACCCAAAGAAUAAGCACCGGCUAACUUCGUG
rnacentral:rRNA from 1 species